rnacentral:rRNA from 1 species
GACGAACGCUGGCGGCGUGCUUAACACAUGCAAGUCGAACGGAAAGGCCCUGCUCUUGCGGGGUGCUCGAGUGGCGAACGGGUGAGUAACACGUGAGUAACCUGCCCCUGACUUUGGGAUAACUUCAGGAAACUGGGGCUAAUACCGGAUAGGAGCUCCUGCUGCAUGGUGGGGGUUGGAAAGUUUCGGCGGUUGGGGAUGGACUCGCGGCUUAUCAGCUUGUUGGUGGGGUAGUGGCUUACCAAGGCUUUGACGGGUAGCCGGCCUGAGAGGGUGACCGGCCACAAUGGGACUGAGAUACGGCCCAGACUCCUACGGGAGGCAGCGGUGGGGAAUAUUGCACAGUGGGCGGAAGCCUGAUACAGCAACGCCGCGUGCGGGAUGACGGCCUUCGGGGUGUAAACCGCUUUCGCCUGUGACGAAGCGUGAGUGACGGUAAUGGGUAAAGAAGCACCGGCUAACUACGUG